AAACUGCGAUAAGUAGUGUGAAUUGCAUUUAGUGAAUCAUCGAAUCUUUGAACGCACCUUGCACUCACUGGUAUUCCGGUGAGUACGCCUGUUUCAGUAUCAUUGAAAACACACAAUCAAAACAUUUUCUUUGGUUUGAUUGGCUUUGGGUCUAUCAAAAAGUUUGGCUUGUUUCUUACAAGCCAAGCGGCCUGAAAUAUAUUGUCUGGCUAAUUGCAUCGUUGAUGAUCGCUAUUAGACUUUGGCUUUUUUAAAUGAACUGGAGGUUGAUUAACCAGUUUUAGCUUUAGUCAAAUGGUCAUUGUAAAAAAAAUCUCGAUCUUGGCUAGGUAUUUAUAGCCGAAAAUUUUUUUUUGGCUAUAACCGAAACCAAUAUAAUCACAUUUAGUUAUCGAUCUGAAAUCAGGUGGGACUACCCGCUGAACUUAAGC
rnacentral:misc_RNA from 1 species